rnacentral:rRNA from 1 species
GAUGAACGCUGGCGGCGUGCCUAAUACAUGCAAGUCGAGCGAACAGACGAGGAGCUUGCUCCUCUGACGUUAGCGGCGGACGGGUGAGUAACACGUGGAUAACCUACCUAUAAGACUGGGAUAACUUCGGGAAACCGGAGCUAAUACCGGAGAAUAUAUUGAACCGCAUGGUUCAAUAGUGAAAGACGGUUUUGCUGUCACUUAUAGAUGGAUCCGCGCCGCAUUAGCUAGUUGGUAAGGUAACGGCUUACCAAGGCAACGAUGCGUAGCCGAACUGAGAGGGUGAUCGGCCACCCUGGAAGUGAGACACGGUCCAGACUCCUACGGGAGGCAGCAGUAGGCAAUCUUCCGCAAUGGGCGAAAGCCUGACGGAGCAACGCCGAGUGAGUGAUGAAGGUCUUCGGAUCGUAAAACUCUGUUAUUAGGGAAGAACAAAUGUGUAAGUAACUAUGCACGUCUUGACGGUACCUAAUCAGAAAGCCACGGCUAACUACGUG